ACAUAAACUCUCGAGUUUGAUAAGGUACAACAGAAUGCUAACAUAGUUCUAUUCUAUGCUCCAACUUUGGUUGACACUAAUACUUACAUGCAUUUUUUUUUUGUUUUUGUUUCUGGCACUGCAGAUGGCCCACUUCAUUCAUCAUAUAUUUACAUUCAUAUGUGGCUACGCAGUUGGGUUUAAAAGAUCAUGGAAAGUCUCUCUGGUGGUAUUCUCAGUCACUCCAUUGACUAUGUUCUGUGGAAUGGCUUACAAAGCACUUUAUGGUGGCCUAACAGCAAAAGAGGAAGCUUCUUAUAGGAAAGCUGGUAGCAUUGCGGAACAGGGCAUCGGUUCAAUUAGGACAGUGUUUUCAUUUGUUGCAGAAAGGCAAUUGACUGGAAAAUAUGCUGAGCUACUGCAAAAAUCAGCUCCAAUAGGGGACAGAGUUGGUUUUGCUAAAGGUAUUGGCAUGGGUGUGAUCUACUUAAUAAUGUAUUCAACAUGGGCAUUGGCUUUCUGGUAUGGCUCUAUAUUAAUUGCCAGCAAUGAACUUGAUGGAGGUUCUGCUAUUGCUUGUUUCUUUGGUGUCAAUGUAGGGGGAAGGGACUGUUGCAGCUAGCCGUGUAUUCUAUAUCAUAGAGAGAAUCCCUGAGAUUGAUUCCUAUAGCCCUGAGGGAAGGAAGCUUUCUGGUGUUCGUGGAAGGAUUGAGUUAAAAAGUUGGUUGGUGCCAGUGGUGGGGGAAAGUCCACUAUCUUUGCUCUCAUAGAGAGGCUUUAUGACCCUAUUGAAGGGAUUAUUACCUUGGAUGGUCAUGAUUUGAGGACAUUGCAAGUAAAGUGGCUAAGUGCUCUUUGCCACAUCUAUUCUGGACUGCGAGUGGACAACUACUCUUAUGCCAAAGCUAGUAACAUGCUUCUGGUGCAGUCUCAAACAUAAGGACGGUUACCACAUUUUCUGCUCAGGAGCAGAUAGUUAAGUCCUUUGAAAGAACCCUGUCAGAACCUAGGAGAAAAUCAUUAAGUUCACAACUUCAAGGUCUUAUGUUUGGGUUGUUUCAAGGUUCCAUGUAUGGAGCAUACACAUUAACUCUUUCGUUUGGUGCAUACCUUGUAGAACACGGCAAGGCAAAACUUGGAGAAGUGUUUAAGAUCUUUCUAAAUUUUCUGUGGAACAACUUGCUGGCUUGGCACCAGAUACUUCUAUGGCGGCUACAGCAAUUCCUGCAGUUCAAGAUAUCAUAAAACGUAGGCCACUGAUUGGCAAUGAUAGAACAGAAGGUAGGAUAGUAGACAGAUCGAAACCGUUCAACAUAGAAUUCAAGAUGGUGACAUUUGCAUACCCAUCUAGGCCAGAAGUGACUGUGUUGAGGAUUUCUGUUUAAAGGUCAAAGGUGGAAGCACAGUGGCCUUGGUGGGACCAAGUGGAUCAGGGAAGUCAACAGUCAUAUGGUUGACCCAGAGGUUCUAUGAUCCUGAUCAUGGAAAGGUGAUGAUGAGUGGUAUAGAUUUGAGGGAGAUUGAUGUGAAGUGGUUGAGGAGGCAAAUAGCUUUGGUGGGUCAAGAACCUGCAUUGUUUGCUGGGAGCAUAAGGGAAAAUAUAGCAUUUGGGGACCCAAAUGCUUCAUGGACUGAAAUUGAAGAGGCUGCAAAGGAGGCUUACAUCCACAAGUUCAUCAGUGGCCUUCCUCAAGGAUAUGAAACUCAGUAGGUUGGUGAAAGCGGGGUCCAGUUAUCAGGUGGCCAGAAACAAAGAAUUGCUAUAGCCAGGGCCAUAUUGAAGAAAUCAAGGGUGCUUUUGCUUGAUGAAGCAAGCAGUGCCUUGGACUUAGAAUCAGAGUAGCACAUCCAAGAAGCCCUUCAGAAGGUUACCAAAGAGGCAACAACCAUAAUAGUUGCUCACCGUCUUUCCACAAUCAGAGAAGCUGAUAAGAUCGCAGUUAUGAGAGAUGGGGAAGUGGUGGAGUAUGGGAGCCAUGACAAGCUCAUGGCUUCAGGUCAAAAUGGCUUGUAUGCUAGCCUAGUUCGAGCUGAGACUGAAGCCAAUGCCUUUUCUUGAUCCUAAUAAUAUGAGCCUGUAACAUUAUUGUCAAUAUAUAUAGCAAGUCUGACACAACACAAUGGCCCAAUGGCCAAAAUCAAUCGGAUAAAAGUAGAAAAGAAAGAACCACUUUAAUUGGUUUGGGCUGUUUUGAAGAGUGGAUCGUACAACAAUUUAUUCUAUGGAUCAGCUUUCUUCUUUUUCAAAUAAACAAAAAAAAAAAUGUACCAUGUGCCACUUGAUUAUGUAAAUUUCAAAAGAAAAUACCUAAAAGUCUUUAUUUA